UGGCGGCCGUAGCGCGGUGGUCCCACCUGACCCCAUGCCGAACUCAGAAGUGAAACGCCGUAGCGCCGAUGGUAGUGUGGGGUCUCCCCAGUUCGACUCUGGGUAUCAGCACCACUUU
rnacentral:rRNA from 1 species